GCGACUCCGGCUUCGAUCCAUCCAUCCAUUGAUCGGCCUCUCCUGCCGUCCUUUUUAAAAGCUUGCCAACUAAUGACAGGCAGCGGGUGCAACGGAUGAUCUGUUGUGUAUCCAACUGCAACCAUCUCGUUCUUCUUGGUUUUGUUUUGUUUUUUGAUGGAGGCAGGAAGGAAGGUGUACCGGGAAGGGGAAGUUAUGCUCGGCAAGUACGCCUAACCAUACAUACGUACAUACUGGCACGCAUUGACGCGUUCUUCAUCAUUGAGAUUUGGCCUUUGGGGCAGGAGCAGCAGCACACUCGGAUCUUCGGGGCAAUCUGACCGAUGUGCUGCCAACGUACGCACGUCCAUGUCAUCUCUUACUUGAAGCUCUCUUUUUUCACGUCGGUGUGACUGAAUAACUGUUAGGUGAUUGAUUAUAUAUGUGUGUGUGACCCGCGCACGAUCGAAGCAAAUUCAACUCAAUCAUGCUGUAAUUACAUAUUGCACAGGUCCGUCUCCUAUCGCCAACAUCUCUCAACACAC